GCGAAGGUAGCUCUCUAAAAAGUACUUUGAUGCGAGAAUGGAUUCUUCCGAAUAGGUAGGGUUCCAUCUGUGUGCCAAGGACUUGUUCCCUAAAGAAGGAGGGAGAAAGAGCCAUUGCCGCCCUCUACCGCCUUUGUCCCAGCGCUGGCUUGGCUUCAAAGUGGAAAGUAGGCGCAAAGAAUAUUGCUCAAGAAUAUUGACGCUCCGUGCCGAUUAUCUGAUCGCUCAUCCAUGAGCUAGCGCUUGAAUGAAACUAAUCCCUUCGACCCCACGUAGCGGUUCGUUCCCAAUCUCUAUCGUCAAAUAAGAUAUAAGAGGGCUCAGACGAUGUUCUCUUGUCCCCUCGGGAAAUUCGAUGAAAUCAUCCCGCAGGACGCGAACCAGGACUGGCCGUAGGUUAAGAUAGUUACCUAUGGCAAAUAUGGGUCUCCUCAAUAGAACAGGGCCUCUGACCGAGAGGUCGUUAGACUCAAGCAUGUCCUAUCCUCUUUUCAAAGCAAUCCAAGGUGGUGUGAACAGCCUAUUGCAUUUAACCAAGGCGGACUCGUGGAGCCCAGAGAUCGCCUUGCCUUGGGACCACUCUUCCCCUAGUGCAUUGCAUGGACGGAGACAACUAGGUCUCGCCAUGAAGCAAGCUCAUAGGGAAGAAGGCAGGCUUUAGCCAUGGCCCCUUGCCUGUCCUCUUAGCAGCCUUGGAAGCAUACUUUCCUGUACUUCCCGCAUAGUGGUCAGAGCUUUUUCCAGGUUGGUUUGAAAGUCAACCCGAGACGAUCUAUCCAGGGUACAUACCUCUCUGUCGAGCAUCGGGAGAUUGUCUUUUAUAGGACCCACAAGCUCAAGGACAGAGUCGUGGUCUGAGACAGGAGUAAGCUGAGACGCAAAUGUCGACUUGCUUACACCUUUUGCCAAAAAAGUAGAAUCUUCUAAAUAGAGAAUACUGAAAAAAACUUCACCAACACCAACAUAUCAGAAGGUAGUUGAAAAGGGGCUUUAAUGCGCUUGCUUACUCGAAAGAAUAAGGAUUUAAGUAGCCGAAUCGACAUCUUUCUCUUCCAAUCCAUCCUAUUGAUCUGAUUGUAAGGUAAAUUGGCUGAAUUCCUAUCCCCAACUGCGGUUCUUGCAAAGAGCGCUAAGCACCUCUUACUCUAAUGAAAGGCCUUGGUGAUUCGAAGAUUUGCAACUCGACCGCAUACAUAAGAAAGAGAGGGAGCCCUUGGUCAAAGGAAAAGCCAUAACCUGCCUCUUUAUUUAUGUACGUACACCUUUCUUUCAAGGUGGGGCCGCCUCCUGCUAAUCCGGCCAUUUCCGAACCUUUCUUUCCCACCCCAUUCAAUGCAAUGGAGGACUUCUCAAUUCUUGCGAUUCCCAGCCCCCAAAAAAAAAGACUCAAAAAGGCAAGGCUCCAAGAAUGAUCGGAGACCUAGAACUGACCCACUACGCGGUCGGCGAAUAAGUUGCUUUCGAAAUCUUCUGAUCGCCAUUCUCUUCUUUCUUCUUUCUCGUAAUUCCCGCCGAACUAGGAGUUUGAAGAUAGAAGUCUAAGGCCAACUUCUCUAACUAUUUACACCGAUCUCAGUUCUUGCGGACAAGGUCUCCACUUCCUUAUUCUUUUUUUUGAGAAUAUGUGCUAUAAUGAAUGAAUUCUAAGGAAAAGCUAGAGUACUAAAGAAGUUAGAGUAACUAAAGAAAAUUAGCCCUUAGAUUAACCCCAAUGCAGUAGAGGGAGAGGCUGAAAGAAGGCGAAUAGAAACUAGAAUGAAGGGGAAGGUGACCCUCGGCAGGAAAAGGCUGCUAAUAGUGAUCAGGAAGGUUCUCUCGCAGGGGAGUUUUAGAUAUUAUGUCCCUUGCUUAAGAAGAAGGUGGAGCGCUUGCUCUUGCUGGAAAAGCUCUUUCUUAUGUUCCAGGGUAGGGAAUUUCUUCUUGACCUGCCUGGCGUAGGAGGCUGAAUUCCCCUAUUAGCCGUUUUUAGGUUCAGACUUUGGAGCAUCUUCAUUCCCUUUCUGAUAAUGAGAGGAAAAGUAUGAUUUGUUCUCGUUAGUUAGCAACUCGAUUUAGAGAUUUGACUGUCCUUUUCACUGAUUCAAGUUGUUCACUUUCGGGCAAAACCUAGUUCAUUGGGAUUCUCCCGCUCCGUGGGAAAGAGGAAAUGGGGAAUUCUCAUUCUUUCGAGUCAAAGCCAUAGGCUUCAUAGGAUAAACUUAAGGUUCAAAGUCGCAUCGCAAAUUCUUUGCGCCUCCGUUUUAGAGUCCUUCCUUCCAUAUGGAUGGUCCUACUUCGGUUAAUUACGGAUGGUCCUACUUCCAUAUGGAUAGUCCUCCUUCUAAUGGAUAGUCCUACGGAUAAAUCCUCCGGACCCUGGACCUUUCUUUGGCACUGCGGACUCCGGACUCCGGACCUAGACACAAUUCAGAAAGAAAGUGAAAAUUCCAUAAAGGGAAUUGCAUUUUGAUGCCUCCGUCCAAAGAUCAAGCGUAGCGGACCUAGGCUUUCUCUUUCUUCC
rnacentral:lncRNA from 1 species